UGGGUGUGUGCAGCUGCGCAGACUCGGCCGGAAGUCCGGACAGACUCUGGUCCUGUAGUUUAGGGACGGUUUACUUUGUGGCCAGACGGAGGAGGCGAUUCGGCGUUUCAUGUUGAUGGCCUUCAGUGCCAGUGGUGGCAUGUCGGGACCCAGUAGGCCUCGGCUAUUGCGCGAUACGCGCGACAGGACAGCGGUGUGUUGAAUCCUGCACAGCAUGCUGCCUGUCCAGGGUGUUGUGGGCAGCCUCUGAGGAUGCCUAAGCUCCUGCAUUUGUCUGGCGGCUCGGUGUGGGCCUCGGCACUGCGCCUUCAGGGAAGGCCUCUUCCCCGGGUUCUGUGGAACUGGAGAGAUAGGAGAGAUGAAGAAACCGAGCCAAGCCUGACUGCUCCAGAUCUUCAGGAUAAGGAAUCCUGUUGGGCUGGAGCAAAGGCUGUGUGAAGGGACGGGGUGAGGUGGGACACUGUGGAAUUUGCUUUUGGAGGGGUCUCUGAUUUCAGUGCUGUUUGCUAAGUCAGAGACUUCUUGCUGUGUGCCUUGAGCGCUGGGAUUAGGUUCCAUGCAACCACGUCCUGACUUCAGCGUUUGUGGUGGCCAUGUCUUGAGAAACCCCUGACACUAGGCCUGUGUCAUUGAAGGGACAUUUGGAUUUAAUUUGGCAUCAAGUUACAUGCGGUUACAUAAAUACUGGUGGGUUCAGGGAACUCACUAACUCAAUGUGCUGUGUUAGCACAAUGUCAAGGUUUUGUUUUGUUUUGGGUUUUGGUUUUGAUUUUUUUAAAAUAGGUCUCUUUGUGUAGCCCUGACUGUUCCAGAGCUCACUAUGUAGACUAGGCUGGCUUCGAACUCACAGAGAUCCACUUGCCUCUGCCUCCUGAGUGCUGGGACCAGGCAUGUGCCACCACAACCAGCCACACUGUGAGUUCUUUUGAAACAGGUGUGCAGUGUUUUUGCAUUUUCAUUUUAAAGAUUUUAAAUACUAGAAACAGAUGCCUAGGAGAGACAAAAAUCUGAAUGAAGUUUUGAUUAAGUAUUUCUUUUUUUUUUUAAUUGUGUGUGUAUUUGCUACGUGUGAGUGCAGGUGCCCUUGGAGGCUAGAAGAGGUACCAUCUGAUGAGGGUGUUGAGAACUGAACUCAGGUCUCCUAGAAGAACAGCAAAUGGUCUUAACUGCUGAACCAUCUCUCCAGCCCCUUGAUUCCGUAUUUUAAAAUACAAUAAGCAUGAAUCUUGUUAAUCUUCAGGACAAUGAAGAAGUUAAAAUAGUAAUGGAGCCCAGACCUCAACUUAGUUUAAUACUGUAAGAAGUCAGUACAAAAUAAAAUUUGUCUUUUACAAAACAAAGUUCUGGAAUAAAAAUGUAGCUCAGUUUUUUUUCCCCAGCCAAGAAUUUGAGCACCUUAUUGUUUGUAACAGGACAGUGGGUGCAAAAGUUUUCUGGAAAAGUCAAAGUAGAACUGAGAAUGUAACUCUUAUUGGCAAACUGCUUGUGUAAUGUGUAAGGCCCUGUGUUCAGUGCUCACAAAACAAAUAACACCAAAAAUCAAAUCAUAAUACCAAAGGAAUAUAGUGCUUCACACAUAUGUUUCUUCAAAAAUACUGUUAAAACUUGUGGUUUGAGUGAAAAUUUUUAAUCAUCAAUGAGAAGAAAAUCUAAGAGAACAUCAUACAUUAACUAUUUUAAGACUAAAGACCUCCUAGAGUCUGACCUGGUGACUUAGGCCUGCAGUCCCAGAACUCAGGGGCUGAGGGAAGAGGAUGAGCAGUUUGAGGACAGACAGGAACAAAAGCUCUGAACAAGAAAGAGUGCCUGCCGGGCAGUGGUGGCACACACCUUUAAUCCCAGCACUCGGGAGGCAGAGGCAGGUGGAUCUCUGAGUUCGAGGCCAGCCUGGGCUACAGAGUAAGAGAGUAAGUUCCAGGAAAGGCUCCAAAGCUACACAGAAAAACCAAAAACCAAACCAAACCAAAACAAACAAAAAAGAAAAUGUUCCAAAUUAGCAUGGUAAGGAUAAGACAGGCCAGGGCCAGUGAGAUGUCCCUGGGGUAAAGUACUUCCCAUGCAAUGCAGGCCGAAUGGCCUGAGUUCAAUCCCCAGAAUCCACACAAAAAUGGAAGGAGAGAAUCAACUCCACAAAGUUGUCUUUGGACCUCCACAUGAAUACACCCAUAUCCCCGACCCCCUACUAGUACUUUGUUUUUAAAGGUGCAGUUUAGUGUCACAUCUAGAAAAAAAAGAGAAUAAAAAGUUCAGAAGGUGCCAGGCAGUGGUGGUGUAUGCCUUUAAUCUCAGCACUCGGGAGGCAGAGGCAGUCGGAUCCCUGCAAGUUUGAGGACAGCCUGGUCUACAUACCGAGUUUCAGGACAGCCAGGGCUGUUACAUAGAGAAACUCUGUCUUGAAAAACAACAGCAACAACAAUAACAACAAAAAAGUUCAGAAGGUAUUGUCAGAAUUUUUAGCACCAUUAUAAAAGAGACGACCAUUUUCAUGAAAAUGUUUUGACACACCAAUGGUGUUGACCCAAUUUUUAAGUCACAUAAAGAAUAAUUUGAAACAAGUAGAAGGUAGUAUGGACAGAAAAAAAGUAGGUAUACUGCUUGAAAAAUGAAAUACCAAUUCUAAGUGAAAACCUUGGACUUCCGAGUAGAUGAUAUGAAGACAUCUGAUGGCAACAGUGGGAAAUGGUAUUGGGCCUUUCAAUUUCCAUGUCUCUAUUGGAGGGGUGGAAAGGGGCGUGGCACAGGGGGAAAACCCCUGAGCUGGACUUCUAUUUAUUUUGAGAUUAUAUUAUUUCUCCCUUCCCUUUCCUCCCUCCAGACUUUCCCUUAUACACCUUGCCCUCUUUUCUCAUUAAUUGUUACAUAUCUUCCCAACUGUAACUGCUCAGUGUGUGUACUAUUAUUUGUAUGUGUGUUUUCAGGGAUGGCUGCUUGGUGUUGGAUAACCACUUGAGGGCCAUUCAUCCCCUGAGGAAGACCCUUUUUUUUUUUCUGCUCUCAGAAUUCCUUGGUUGUCUGUAGUCGUUUGUGUAGGCCUCAGACCUCUUGGGCUUCCCCCAUGCACUUUGGCAUGUCUGUUGUCGGACUUAUGUUUAGGUGGUCAUGUUAGUGAGACUUUAGUGGGUCCCUGGACUUCCUGAGUCCUGAAAUUUGGCUCCUAGCUUGUGAAGACACUGGAUUGAGAGAACAAAAGGGCAGCUGGGGUGCUCGUGUUGGCAUUGGUAAAGUACACAGGGUGGAUGCAUCUUGAUAAAUUUGUACGUGUGUGCACAAGAUCCUUCGGGGCCUCUGUGGACGUCCCUGUGCAGCCUGUGAGGAAGAGGACUACCCCCUGGGUAACUACUGCCCUGAUGUCUGUCAGUCAUACAGAUUACCUACCUCUUCUGGAACUCUGAAAACUGCAGCAUUCGCAUGGAAUCCUUCCACUCAACCUAACCUGUCAGUUUGUCUGUGCUCCUUGUGAGGUGCUUUUCCCCUCUAGACAAAGUUCCACUGGGUUCUUUUUCUGUCUCCUGUAUUUUCUCAUCAUGUUGAGCAUAUGUUUUCAGCAGUGUUGAUUAUACCUGUGCACGUCAUCACCCCUGCAUUCCUUCUGCUUCUACGGACAGAGUUCUUCCCAGGUUGUGGACUGUUGUGGCAGGCAGCUUCCGUCACGGUGUGUGAAGGGGUUGUUUUUGUCAUUGUGACAAGACACAGGAGAGGAGAAAUUCAGAUGAAGAAGCAUUGGUUUCACUGCCAUGGCUGCUUGGCCCCAUGCACAGGGGCAGAGAACUGUGGCCUUGGAGGGGAGCUGUUUACUUCCUGACCAAGCAGAAGCACAGGGCACAAGAAGAAGGACCUGGAAUAACACACUCCCAAACCUGCCCUAUUUCCCCCAGUCGGAACCUACCUCCCAAGGUUUCCAAGCUUUGCCAAAUAGCACCUCUCACCAGAGACCAAGCAUUCAAGCAUUCACAACAUGAGCUAGUGGGGGACGUUUCACUUUCUUUAUUCUUUGCCCAACAUAAUAUUUUUAUUAAUUAUUUGGCAAUUUCAUACAAUGCACCCCAUCACACUUGUUUCCCAUUCCUCCUGGAUCCACCCUCCCAUCCUUGUGCCCUCCCCCACAAAACAAACGAGCCCACCAAGUCCAAUUUCUGUUGCCCACAUACCCACUGGAGCACGAUCAGUCUCCCAGUGGACGGUCCCUUAAAGGAAACUGAGUGUGCUGCCCCCACCCCCACAACCCUGCAAGAAGCCAUCAGUUGUGAAGAGGGACACGUCAGCAUCUUUAGCACAUUUUUUAUUUUUGGUUUUUCGAGACAGGGUUUCUCUGUGUAGUUUUGGUGCCUGUCCUGGAUCUCGCUCUGCAGACCAGGCUGGUCUCUGCCUCCCAAGUGCUGGGAGUAAAGGCGUGUGCCACCACGGCCUGGCUCUUUGUCACAAUUUUUAAGGACUCUUUUCAAUAGCUUCUUGUUGGUACUGUCUCUUUUUUUCUUUUUUGUCGGGGAGAGAGGUUGCCUUCAAUGUCUCCCAUUCUCAGUUAGGAGUCUUUAGUUACUGAUACCACUGCAAAAGCUUCCCUGUCCAUAGCAGCUGGCAGCAGCAUGGACCACGGACAUCAACAUGGCCCCCAGCAGCAGCAGCAGCGUCGACCACAGACAUCAACACGGCCCCCAGCAGCAGCGUGGACCACGGACAUCAACAUGGCCCCCAGCAGCAGCGUGGACCACGGACAUCAACAUGGCCCCCAGCAGCAGCGUGGACCACGGACAUCAACAUGGCCCCCAGCAGCAGCAGCGUGGACCACGGACAUCAACAUGGCCCCCAGCAGCAGCAUGGACCAUGGAAGUCUUUCAAGGAGGCUCAAUCCAGGAAACAAACCAUUCCUCGUCUCGGAUACCUUGCUGCUGCUCAGAGUCAGGGCAGCCAUGCAGUUGGGCAGUGUGUCUGGGGGCAGGGCCUGUGCGAGCUCCAGGUUGCUGUCCACCACCCUGCCCAUGGCCCGAGCCUCCUGGCAGACGAGGACUGGCCCUACUGGGCACCAACAUUCUCCUUUGUUGCUGGGGCUGAGCUCCCACACCUAUGGCCACUGUCUUGUCUCUAAUCCCUCUUUUCUCUGCCUCUCGCCAUGCUGUUCUGCCAUCUUCUUUUCCAGUUCCAUGAAACCACUUUUUUGGUUGUGAGUCUAGCCUUUAACGGCUGAGCUAUCCCUCCAGCCCUGAAACCACUUUUUGAAAGCAUCUUCCCAUAAGACCUGCCUUUUAAAAGUUGUUCCAGAGAUACUGUGUGCUCUGCAGGCUCAUCUUCCACUGCCUCAUCUCCCCUCGUAGCCUCCACGGAUCAUGUAGGCUUCUCAGAGCAGCUCUGUAGCCCAAUGGGUACUGGCAGCUGCCACCAUCUUGAAUCUCCCAAGAAUCUUUCUUAUCGAUGUUUCACUUUCAAAUGGUACUUGUAACAAAUCCCUGUGGUAAUCAACUUACAAAGGGAGGUUUAUUUUGGCUCCUGAUUUCAUAGCUUUCAGUCUGUGUUUACAUAGCUCUGUAGUCUCAGCCCAUGGCAGCUUGGUGCAUCCUGCUGCCAGGGUGUCUCAAUUAGGGUUUCUGUUGCUGUGAAGAGACACCAUGAUCAUGGCAACUCUUAUAAAGGAAAAACAUUUCAUUGGGGUAGUUCACGUUUUCAGAGGUUUAGUCCAGUAUCAUCAUGGUGUGCCAUCAUGGCAUAGAGGCAGACAUGGUACUAGAGCUGAGAGCCCUACAUCUUGAUGGCAGGCAACAGGAAGUGGUCUGGCUCAAAGCCCACCUCCACAGUGACACACUUCCUCCAACAAGGCCACAGCUACUCCGACAAGGCCACACCUCCUAAUAGUGCCACUCCCUUUGGGGGCCAUUUUCUUUCAAAUCACUACAUUCCACUUUCUGGCCCCCAAAAGCUUGUAGCCAUAUCAUAAUGCAAAUAUGCAUUUAGUCUAACUUCAAAAGUCCCCAUAGUUUCAUAUAACAGCCUCAAACUUAUUUAAAAGUGUAAAGUUCAGUCUCUUCUGAGAUUCAUGCAAUCUCUUAACUGUAAUCCCCUAUAAAAUCAAAUAAAAAAGCAGAUCACAUACUUCCAACAUAUAUAUACACAGGAUAUACAUUACCAUUCCAAAAUGUAGGGAAGGGAGCACAGUGAGGAAAUACUGGACCAAAGCAAGACUGAAAAUCAACUGGGCAAACUCCGAACUUUGCAUCUCCCUGUCUGGCUGAUGUCAAAAUGUCCUUUAGAUCUCCACUCCUUUCAGCUUUGUUGAAUGAAACACACUUCUUUCUCUUGGGCUGGUUUCACUACCUGUUAGCAGCUUUCCUUGGCAGGUAUCCCACGACUCUGGCAUCUCCAACAUUUUGGAGUCUCCAAGGUAACCCAGGUUUCUCAACAGCUUCACACAAUGACCUCUUUGGGCCUCCAUUCAUGGACACCCCUGAUGUAUGCCUGGCCUCAGCGGCUUCCCUUAGACGCAGAGACAUAUUCCAUAACCUCUUCUGUUCUUGAUUUUAAAGCCAGAACCACAUGACCGAAACUGCCAAGUUCUACUGCUCGUUGGGUCGGGAACAUGGCCCCCUUAUUCAACUACAUCUUCACCAGCUUUCUGUCCUUCACUGCCUAAGCUUGGCUGUCCUGAAACUUGAUAUGUAGACAAGGCUGGCCUCCAACUCAGAGAUACAACAGCCUCUGCCUUCUGAGUGCUGGGAUUAAAGGUGUGUACCACCAAACCUGGCUCUAAGCUUUUCUUUAAUUCCUUUUCACAAGUUAGAAAUUUAGCUCUGUGGGAUCUUGCCCUGAGGUCACCACUCCCUUUAUCCAUUUCUUUCUUUCUUUUUAAAAUAUAAUUUAUUUAUUUUUUAUUUUAUUUGUAUUGGUUUUUUUGCUGCAUGUAUAUAGACUGUGUGAGGGUGUCAGAUCUUAGAGUUGCAGACAGUUGUGAGCUGCCCUGUGGGUGCUGGGACUUGAACCCAGGUCCUUUGGAAGAGCAGUCAGUGCUCUUAACCACUGAGCCAUCUCUCCAGCCCCCCCCCCUUUAUCCAUUUCUUAAUCUGUUUAUCUCCUUGAACACAGGACUUAGUUCCAUUUUACUUCCUGGUGCUUCUUUUCUACCUCAAAUUUUACAUUUUCUUGUUCCUUUUCAUUAUAAAUUGGUAUAAGAGAGACCAGUAAUAACCACACAACAGAGUCAAUACUAGACUGUUUGGAGAUUUCCUCUGCCAAUGGAAUUAACCCAAAACUCUUCACUUUAGCCUCAGGCAGACUUUCCAGACAAGGGCAAAAAGCCACAUUCUUCACCAAAAUAUCACAAGAACAAUCUAUAGGCAACAUAUUAAAAUUCUUCUCCUCAGAAACAGCUUGAGCCAGCCCCACGGUUCAAAUCACACUCAGCCCCACUGUCUUCCAUGCUUCUACUAGAAUGACCCAGUAAGCAGUGCUUAAAGCAUUCCACUGCCUUUUAAUCCACAGCCCCAAGGUCCGUAUUCCUACCAACAAAAGCAUGGGCAGGCCUAUCACAGCAGUACCCCAAUCCCUGGUACCAACUUUUGUCUUAAUUAGGGUUUCUAUUGCUGUGAAGAGACACCAUGACCAUGGCAAUUCUUAUAAAGAAAAAACAUUUAAUUGGUGUGGCUUA